rnacentral:rRNA from 1 species
CUAAGAAUAUUCCGCAAUGGGGGGAACCCUGACGGAGCGACGCCGCGUGGACGAUGAAGGUCGGAAGAUUGUAAAGUCCUUUUAUACAUGAAGAAGAAGCUAAGAAGGAAAUGGAAUAGCGGUGACUGUAGUGUAUGAAUAAGCACCGGCUAAUUACGUGCCAGCAGCCGCGGUAACACGUAAGGUGCGAGCGUUGUUCGGAAUUAUUGGGCGUAAAGGGCAUGCAGGCGGUCGUGCAAGCCCGGCGUGAAAGGCGGGGGCUCAACUCCCGAACUGCGCUGGGAACUGCAAGGCUUGAGUUUCUGAAGGGCAGCCGGAAUUCCACGUGUAGGGGUGAAAUCUGUAGAUAUGUGGAAGAACACCAAUGGCGAAGGCAGGCUACCGGCAGAAGACUGACGCUGAGGUGCGAAGGUGCGGGGAGCAAACA